rnacentral:sRNA from 1 species
CCGUAAUGAUUUGCGGACAGAUGAAAUGGAUGUGCGUGUCGAUCCCCCCCGCCGUGAUGAUCUUUCCCUCGGCGGACAGGACUUCAGUCCCCGGUCCGAUUUCCAUGCCCUUCGUGACUCCGUCCAUGAGAUCGGGAUUGCCCGCCUUGCCGAUGCCGACAAUACGGCCAUCGCGAAUCCCGAUGUCGGCCUUCACGAUCCCCCACCAAUCGAUAAUGAUCGCAUUGGUGAUGACGAGAUCGAGCGCGCCUUUGGCGCGAGUGGCGGAAGGCGAUUGUCCCAUGCCGUCGCGG